AACGCACGAGACCUGCGGACCUGCGGAGGGAUCAUUACUGAGUGAGGGCCCCUCGGGGUCCAACCUCCCACCCGUGUUUAACGAACCUUUGUUGCUUCGGCGGGCCCGCCUCACGGCCGCCGGGGGGCUCCUGCCCCCGGGCCCGCGCCCGCCGAAGCCCCCCCUUGAACGCUGUCUGAAGUUUGCAGUCUGAGAAACUAGCUAAAUUAGUUAAAACUUUUAACAACGGAUCUCUAGAUC
rnacentral:misc_RNA from 1 species